rnacentral:piRNA from 1 species
UACAGACCCGUAGAGUUGGAAUCUCCAAGCC